UUCUAUACGUUAACAAGGCAUCUCUUGAAUCUUGAUCCCCACAAACCAAUUUAAACCCAAAUGCCCAAAAUAAAACCAAUUCAAACUCAAAUACCUUAAAUCAAAAACCAAAUAUAACGAAUCAAAGCAAGAAGAGGAAGAGGUAGCAAGCAAGCAAAUAUGAGCGGGAACGAGUUCCGGUUCUUCUUGUCCUGCGACAUAAAUCUCCCAGUAACCUUUUCCAUUGAGAAAUUGGAAGGUAUUUUGCCCCCAAUCAAGUCAACCAAUUCAGAAACUGAGUCUGCUACAGAGGAGAGGAGGGUAGAGCUAUAUGUUGAGUGCACGUUGUACAUUGAUGGUGCUCCAUUUGGCCUUCCUACAAGAACAAGGUUGGAAUCAACCGGACCUCCAUCUUGUUGGAAUGAACUCAUAACAUUGAGCACAAAAUAUCGAGACUUAACUGUUCACUCACAACUUGCUUUAACAGUUUGGGAUGUUUCGUGUGAGAAAGAUGAGGGAUUAAUUGGUGGAGCAACAAUUCUUCUCUUUAACAGCAAGAAACAACUCAAAACAGGGAAGCAAAAGCUUAGGCUUUGGCCAGGAAAAGAAGCAGACGGGUCCUUUCCUACAGCUACUCCUGGAAAGGUCCCACGGCAUGAGCGUGGAGAGUUGGAGCGCUUGGAAAAGCUUGAGAAUAAGUACGAGAGGGGACAGAUUCAACGUGUUGAUUGGUUGGACCGCCUCACAAUUAAAGCUAAGGAGAGAAUCAAAGAGCGUGAAAGCUCUAAAAAUGGAGGUUCUCAUCUGUACCUGAUUGUUGAUUUCUGUAGCUUUGAACAUCGGGUUGUUUUUCAGGAAUCAGGAGCAAAUUUCUUAUUACCAUCUCCUCUAAUGUCAACAAAUGAAAUUGUUAUUGUCUGGGACCCAGAAGUGGGAAAGAUAAAUCCCUCUGAGCACAAGCAACUAAAGCUCGCUAGGAGUUUAACCCGUGGUAUUAUUGACAGGGAUCUUAAACCAAGCUCUAAUGAGAGAAAGUCAAUACAAAGAAUACUGAAGUACCCACCAACAAGGACUUUGAGUGGAGAUGAGAGGCAGCUACUUUGGAAAUUCCGUUUUUCAUUGAUGUCUGAGAAAAGGGCUCUCACAAAGUUUCUCCGAUGUGUUGAAUGGAGUGAUGUUCAGGAAGCAAAACAAGCAUUAGAAUUGAUGGGUAAGUGGGUAAUGAUUGAUGUCAGUGAUGCGCUUGAGCUUCUAUCUCCUGUUUUUGAAAGUGAAGAGGUACGUGCAUAUGCUGUUAGUGUUCUUGAAAGAGCUGAUGAUGAAGAGCUCCAGUGUUAUUUACUUCAAUUGGUUCAGGCUCUACGGUUUGAGCGCUCUGAUAAAUCUCGCCUUUCUCAUUUCCUUGUGCAACGUGCAUUACGCAAUAUCGAGUUUGCUAGCUUUCUUCGCUGGUAUGUUGCUGUGGAGCUUCAUGAUCCAGCCUAUGCCAAACGUUUCUAUUGUACCCAUGAAAUUCUGGAAGAGCAUAUGAUGAAGUUGGCAGCUGGUGUAAAUGGAGAUGAAGAUGGAUUUAAAUUGUGGCAAAGUUUGGUACGUCAGACAGAAUUGACUGCUCAGUUGUGUUCAAUUAUGAGAGAUGUAAGAAAUGUACGUGGUAAUACUCAGAAGAAGAUCGAAAAGCUUAGACAGCUGCUUUCUGGUCUUCUUAGUGAACUUACCUAUUUUGAAGAGCCGAUUCGAUCACCAAUGGCUCCAAAUGUCCUUAUUACUGGGAUUGUGCCAUCCGAGUCAUCAAUAUUCAAAAGUGCACUGCAUCCCUUGCGCCUGACUUUCCGAACAGCAAAUGGUGGAAGUUGCAAAAUCAUAUUUAAGAAGGGAGAUGAUAUUCGUCAAGACCAACUGGUUAUUCAAAUGGUAUCACUCAUGGAUCGAUUGCUUAAAUUGGAAAAUCUUGAUCUGCACUUAACUCCGUAUAAGGUUCUAGCAACUGGACAAGAUGAAGGCAUGUUGGAAUUCAUACCAUCCCGUUCUUUGGCACAGAUUCUGUCGGAGCAUCGUAGCAUUAUAAGUUAUCUCCAGAAGUUUCAUCCGGAUGAGCAUGGACCAUUUGGCAUUACAGCUACCUGUCUUGAAACAUUUAUAAAAAGCUGUGCUGGCUACUCUGUUAUCACUUAUAUACUGGGCAUUGGAGACAGGCACCUAGACAACCUUCUCCUCAGAGAUGAUGGGCGUCUAUUCCAUGUUGAUUUUGGUUUCAUUCUUGGCCGUGACCCCAAGCCGUUUCCACCGCCAAUGAAGCUUUGCAAAGAAAUGGUUGAGGCUAUGGGUGGAGCUGAAAGUCAAUAUUAUACAAGGUUCAAGUCCUAUUGUUGUGAGGCAUACAACAUUCUUCGGAAAUCUAGUAACCUAAUUUUAAAUCUGUUUCAUCUCAUGGCGGGUUCCAACAUUCCUGACAUAGCCUCUGACCCUGAGAAGGGAAUCCUUAAGCUCCAGGAGAAGUUCCGCUUAGACUUGGAUGAUGAAGCCUGCAUACAUUUUUUCCAGGAUCUUAUCAAUGAGAGUGUUAGUGCAUUGUUUCCUCAAAUGGUUGAGACCAUUCAUCGGUGGGCUCAAUACUGGCGCUGAUCCCCGAAACAAUUUGGGUAUUGUAAAUGCAUUUGUAAAUAGCCAGGUGAUUUCUAGUGUCUUUAAGUUUCAGUUUGCACUUUUUGCAUAUUCUUCCAAACAGGUUUACUGGAAAUGAACCUGUGUUUUUCUGGCAUAACUAAUGAAUUAAGUUAUAGUUAAUUUGUAUGUUUUGCUGAAAAUACAAGCUUCAGCUGAGUUGAACUUAUAACCAAAUCUUGUCAUUUUUUAUUAGGGUUUAUAAUUAACCGGUUGAAUAUGACAGCUCUCCAGCUGAUACUCUGGAUGGAUCUUAAAAAUGACAGACAAGAAGGAUAGAGAAUAUGAUAGCAAUCAUCUUUAACAACCGUAUAGGAAUUAUGUUUCAGAUUAGUAGCCGCAAUUUUAAGGUUGAAAUGGAUCUUUUGAAGCUGCAGACUUGAAUGUCAUCCUGAAGGAUGAGAGAAAAACACACCCCCACCCCCCCC